rnacentral:rRNA from 1 species
ACCGUAGGUUCCGAGCGUUAUCCGGAUUUACUGGGCGUAAAGCGCGUUCAGGCGGUUUGGCAAGUCGGGCAUGAAAUCUCUCGGCUCAACCGGGAGAGGUUGUCCGAUACUUCCAGACUUGAGGGCAGUAGAGGGUGGUGGAAUUCCGGGUGUAGUGGUGAAAUGCGCAGAUAUCAGGAGGAACACCAAUGGCGAAGGCAGCUCGCUGGAACGGUACUGACGCUGAGGCGCGAAAGCGUGGGGAGCGAACAGG